rnacentral:rRNA from 1 species
AUGGCGCCACUCGUACUCAAGCGCCGCAAGGCAGCACCUUCCCCUUCCCCUCCCCUUUCGGAGGCUUCUUCCGACUCCGGCAGCGACUCCGACCUCAACCUCCACGACAACUCCGACCCAGAGGACGGCUUCUUCCCCGCAGGGAGCGCUGCCAAUGACGAUGACCAAGAUUUCUCUGCCAGCGACGAGGAGAUCGACCAUGACGAGGAGAGCGGCCAUGAAGAGGAGGAUGAUGGUGAGAUGGGGGAGCUCGAGGAGGAGUAUCGCACCCUCCAGGCCAGUCAACAAAGCAUUCUUCAGACAUUGAAACAGCACAGGGAUGAUGAUGCCUCGAGAGGCCAGGCAGUCAAAAACCAAAAGGCACUAUGGGAUAAGACCCUGGAAAUGAGAUUCUUGCUGCAAAAGGCAUUUACCACUUCAAACAAGCUUCCCAAGGAUUCCACCAAGUCAAGGUUCUGCAGUCACGAUCAGGAGAUAGAGCAAGCAUAUGUUGAUCUGUUGGAUUCAUCGAAACAGACUCUUGGCUCCAUGCUUGAGCUGCAGGAGGCUUUACUAGAGCGGAACCAGGCUGCAAAGGAUGUGAAAGUGACAGAUACUUUGCCUAAUUCAACUGGAGAGAAUGACGAGUGGUUGCAAAUGCAGAAAGUGCAGACAAGAAUAACCCUGUUCAGAAAUACUGAGAUAGAUAAAUGGCAGAGGAAAACACAGGUCACAACUGGCGCUGCUGCACUGAAAGGAAGGUUGCACGCAUUUAAUCAGAACAUAAGUGACCAAGUUGCUGGUUAUAUGAGGGACCCAAGCAGGAUGAUUAACAGGAUGUACCUGCGGAAAUCUGAUGUUGGUGUAUUUGGGGAGCCUGCUACUGCUGUGGAGGGCAAAGAUGUGGAAGGUGAUCCUGAACUCAUCGAUGAUUCUGAAUUUUAUCAUCAACUUCUCAAGGAGUUUCUCGAGUCAUGUGAUACGGGGGCAUCUGAAUCCGCAUUUUAUGCUCUGAGGAAGAAGCAGCACAAGAAGAGAAAACUUGUUGACCGCCGUGCUUCAAAGAGCAGAAAGAUAAGGUACAGUGUCCACGAGAAGAUUGCUAAUUUCAUGGCCCCGGUACCGAUGACAGUUCCUCCGAUGGCUUCAAAAUUGUUUGAGAAUUUAUUUGGAAUGGGCAACCAAAAGGCCCCUGCGGUCUGA